UCGGGAAUUUUGGGCAAUGGGCGAAAGCCUGACCCAGCAACGCCGCGUGAGGGAUGAAGUAUUUCGGUAUGUAAACCUCGAAAGAAUGGGAAGAAUAAAUGACGGUACCAUUUAUAAGCUCCGGCUAACUACGUGCCAGCAGCCGCGGUAAUACGUAGGGAGCAAGCGUUGUUCGGAUUUACUGGGCGUAAAGGGCGCGUAGGCGGCGCGGUAAGUCACUUGUGAAAUCUCUGAGCUUAACUCAGAACGGCCAAGUGAUACUGCUGUGCUAGAGUGCGGAAGAGGCUACCGGAAUUCUUGGUGUAGCGGUGAAAUGCGUAGAUAUCAAGAGGAACACCUGAGGCGAAGGCGGGUUGCUGGGCCGACACUGACGCUGAUGCGCGAAGGCCAGGGGAGCAAACG
rnacentral:rRNA from 1 species